rnacentral:lncRNA from 1 species
UGCGGAAUAUCAUAAAUAUGUAUUAACUACUACCAUCCGGAUCUGGAGUCGCAAUUCACGAGCAUUCUAGAAUUUAUAACAAGUAAUGGGCUGAAAAAAAUACAACUGUCUGAAUGAAAGAAAACAGUAAGACAUAAAAGAUAGACAGGGACUUCAUGGUCUGUAAACGCCGACAGAUCUACCUUGAGUCUCCGUAUAGUGGACCAGUAGCAAAUCUCGAUCAACCUGAGCCGGUAUCAAAAUCUGCACAGAAAGUGCAGAGUGCAGCAUCAGUACAACCGACCCCAUGUACUGGUAAGUAUCGAGCCUAACCUCGGCGAAGUAGUGACGAGGCUAGGACAAGACACCCACAUAUAACCUGAACAGUAUAAUCAUGCUAGUGGCAACAUCAGUAAAUAAGAAAUAAUGCAGAAAUAAUGGGAGGGGAACAUACAGUGGGAAAAUACAACAUAAGGAGUGAGAAUAAUGAAAAGACAUAAUUAAACCGGAAAUCCUUAAACUAAUUGAGCAAUUAAGACAGCAAGAAAAACUGCACGGUAUCACCCUUCGUGUUUUUACUCUCAACCUCACCAAAUAACAAAUAAGACUGCACGGCAUCACCCUUCGUUCUUUUACUAUCUUCCUCACAAUAUAAAUAAAUUAUGCACGGCAUCACCCUUCUGCUUUACACUCUUCCUCACAAUAUAAUUAAUCUCUCGACUCUACCCUUGCAUCUGUAAGGUAUUCUGUGAUAGUGUUGGGAUACGGAUAUGACGAGUCAUCUUCCCGAGCAAUCACUGAGAUGUUGUCCGACAUCACGGCCCCCACAUUGAUAGGGUGCCUGUCCAUAAUAGAAGCAACCAAAACUUCCCGAGGAAUCGGAAGGUAGGUCUCAUUCUUGGGACAGGUCCAGUCUGCUGCAGACAAACGUUUGCCACCCCUUCGCCUCAAAACUCAGCGUGCUCUAGUGGAUAGGAAUCCCAGCGGUAAUCCAUGUUGGUGGUGGCCCUGGUGCUGCUAGAAUAUCUGCUAACCAUGGCCGGGAUGCAUCUCCCAUCUCAAGCUUCUCCAAAUAUUCCUUUGGCUCAACAUUUUCAAAACCCAAGUAUGUGUUAAGUGUAUGCUGAUCAAAUCUCACUUUGAGGUUGCACACUUUGGUGACCUUUGUCCCCUUUUUGAUAUGCACCACAUUGGCAUAGAAUUCACGGACAAGGUACUCUUUUGUAUCCACGACACCCUGGGAGAACCUCAUCCAACCCUUGCAUUCCUUGAACUGUCUCAACACUGCUGGGUUGUACCUCUCCAAAUCUUUCAGUUGAAACUGUCGCUCAAGAGUAAGCGACCUCACUGGCCACCAUGUACGAAAGUUGGUGAAGGCAGCCAAGCUGACAAACAGAUCCCUUCUUUCACUAUGUUUCUCUAAAAACACUAUGUACGGACCACACAUUUUCAGGUACGGCCGCAGAAGUCAAAAACUACGAACAAUCAAUUUUUCUAUCUAGGUUUUGCAAAAUUUGUGCAAAUUUUGACAUGGCAACAACAUAGAGGUAUGAAAAUAUAUUGACCCAAUCCCCAUAGAGCAUAUAUUAGUUAACCCACUACAGAUUUACCCCACAUGAAUGCACAAUUGAAUUUUAUUGACAAAUGGCCUAAAAACAAAUGACUAAAAGUUUACAAAUUAAAAUAAAAGAUUAACAAGAAAUUUAAGCAUACCAGAUGAAUGAGUGUGAAGAGUGACUAAUCAAAUAUGUUGCGUGUAUGGACAGAUAGAUUCACCAGGAAAUUGCAUGAGGGUAUUGUUUUUGUGCUCAGAGAGGGAAAGAAAAAAAAAUGAACAGUAGCCUCUAUUUAUACUACUUGGUUUUGAUAAGGUAAGGAAGGUCGAGUGCAGACGUACAAUUUCAAUUGCGGUCCGCACUCGGUUACCUGAGUCUUCUAUUUUGAUUCUUUAUCUGCGGUCCGCAAAAUUUUGUGUGCGGCCGCAGGUUUCUUAUUGCGGUCGCACAUACCUUUUCUCUGACAGACUAACUCUC